CUCCCACAACUUCCGAAGGCAACUUCUGUUCCAUUGGUCUCACGUCAUCAUUCAAGAGGAGAGGAUUAACAUACACAGAGACAUCACGCUACUCUAUAAGAUUCCUGGCAUAUAACCAGCAGAGUGCAGAAGAAAGAUAAAGAAAAAUUUACAACCCUUAGGUUUCUGAAGAGCGCUGGAUGGACUUCUAAAAUAGGCUGAUACGCAAAGCAGACCAAUACCUGAGAUUUAAUUAAAACAGACAAAUGUUUCAACACUAAAGGACCAUCUGCACUGUAAGCGAAGUUCACAUCAUCAAACGCAAUCACUCCUUCAGUUGGCCACUCCGCUGGUGGACGUUUGUAGAUUUUCAACUUCUGCACUCUGCCGAACUCCCCACUGGAACAUUCCUGUGAGGGUGAUUGCAUAGGAUAAAGCAAGGCCCAC